GACAGAGGGUGCAAGCGUUAAUCGGAAUGAUUGGGCGUAAAGGGCGUGUAGGUGGUGGUUUAGGUUUGGUGUGAAAGCUCUCGGCUCAACCGAGAAAGUGCACCAAAUACCGGAUUACUAGAGUGAGAGAGAGGACUGCGGAACUUUCGGUGUAGCGGUGAAAUGUGUAGAUAUCGAAAGGAACACCAGUGGCGAAGGCGGCAGUCUAGCUCUAUACUGACACUGAGGCGCGAAGGCGUGGGGAGCAAACAGG
rnacentral:rRNA from 1 species